rnacentral:rRNA from 1 species
UACGUAGGGCGCAAGCGUUGUCCGGAAUUAUUGGGCGUAAAGAGCUCGUAGGCGGUCUGUUACGUCCGCUGUGAAAACCCAGGGCUUAACCCUGGGCUUGCAGUGGAUACGGGCAGACUAGAGGCAGGUAGGGGAGAAUGGAAUUCCCGGUGUAGCGGUGAAAUGCGCAGAUAUCGGGAGGAACACCGGUGGCGAAGGCGGUUCUCUGGGCCUGACCUGACGCUGAGGAGCGAAAGCGUGGGGAGCGAACAGGG